UGGGGGAUAUUGCACAAUGGGCGAAAGCCUGAUGCAGCGACGCCGCGUGAGGGAAGACGGUCUUCGGAUUGUAAACCUCUGUCUUUGGGGAAGAAAUCAGACGGUACCCAAAGAGGAAGCUCCGGCUAACUACGUGCCAGCAGCCGCGGUAAUACGUAGGGAGCGAGCGUUGUCCGGAAUUACUGGGUGUAAAGGGAGCGUAGGCGGGCUUGUAAGUUGAAUGUCUAAUCCACCGGCUCAACCGGUGAUCGCGUUCAAAACUGCAGGUCUUGAGUGAAGUAGAGGCAGGCGGAAUUCCUAGUGUAGCGGUGAAAUGCGUAGAUAUUAGGAGGAACACCAGUGGCGAAGGCGGCCUGCUGGGCUUUAACUGACGCUGAGGCUCGAAAGCGUGGGGAGCAAA
rnacentral:rRNA from 1 species